rnacentral:rRNA from 1 species
UUGAGCAUCAAACUUUUAAAUUGAAGAGUUUGAUCAUGGCUCAGAUUGAACGCUGGCGGCAGGCCUAACACAUGCAAGUCG